UACGUAGGUGGCAAGCGUUGUCCGGAUUUACUGGGCGUAAAGGAUGCGUAGGCGGACAUUUAAGUCAGAUGUGAAAUACCCGAGCUUAACUUGGGUGCUGCAUUUGAAACUGGGUGUCUAGAGUGCAGGAGAGGUAAGUGGAAUUCCUAGUGUAGCGGUGAAAUGCGUAGAGAUUAGGAAGAACACCAGUGGCGAAGGCGCCUUACUGGACUGUAACUGACGCUGAGGCAUGAAAUCGUGGGGAGCAUACAGG
rnacentral:rRNA from 1 species